AUCCCAUCAUGAGGACAUUCGAGUAUGUAGUCUUGAAAAUGCUCUCAAGCUUCUGGGACUAUCUCAUAAUGUUGUUGUUGAAAACAUGAUAUCUUCCCAUGAAGAGC
rnacentral:snoRNA from 1 species